rnacentral:rRNA from 1 species
UACGUAGGGGGCGAGCGUUGUCCGGAUUUAUUGGGCGUAAAGAGCUCGUAGGCGGUUUGGUAAGUCGGGUGUGAAAUCUCCACGCUCAACGUGGAGGGGCCACUCGAUACUGGCAGCUAGAGUCCGGAAGAGGUAAGUGGAACUCCUAGUGUAGAGGUGGAAUUCGUAGAUAUUAGGAAGAACACCAGUGGCGAAGGCGGCUUACUGGUCCGGAACUGACGCUGAGGUGCGAAAGCGUGGGGAGCAAACAGG